GGUUCCUUAACUUAAUAGGAUAAAGUGUACUUUUGAUAAGAGUAAGAUCAACGUUCAAGUCGCUGAGGAAUCA
rnacentral:tRNA from 1 species